rnacentral:lncRNA from 1 species
CUCGCGCCAACCGUGAUUAGUGAGAAGAUGAAGCCCGUGCUAAGCGAGAUGUUUAGCGAGAAACUUUUGAGGAGGUUGAGAGUUUAGGAGAAGCAUACGUUCGCGUUGGCAAGAACUCCUCCAGUCCCUGCUACACCUAGACGUAGAGGGUCUGCAGGACCCGAAGACAUCCGAUGCUCCCAAAGGCAGACCUCCUAGACGGCAAAAUACAAGGGAAACGUUAGGGUGGGAGAAGGUUAAAUCUACAACAUCACGUAGUAAGAAAACUGAUAAAUGUAAUGUGCGAUUUAAUUAUUUGUAAUGGUAAAUUAGCUAAUGACGUAAACUAACAGCGGGUUUUAUCCCAGUUAAAGCUAACAAAGGAUAAAAUCCACCGUUGAACUGUUUGUUCAGUAAUAAAAAAACGCAGAAAUCUAGUUAUGUUUUUACGUCAUCAUUCUUUAUCUACCAAUCAUUUUUUUCUUUUUCUUCUUCUUCUAUUCUUCUUUGAUUUUUCUUCUCAUUUAAUUCUUUUUCUUAUUCUUCGAUUCUUCUUUUUUUUUCUUCUUCGAUUCUUCUUCUUCUUUUUUUGAUUUUUUUUCUAUCCUUCUUCGAUUCCUUUUUUUUCUUUUUAAUUCUUUGAUUCUUCUUUUUCAAUUUUCUUUUUUUCUUUAUUGAUUCUUCUUUUUUUCAUCUUCAUUGAA